CCGCCGGGCCCGUCCAGCGACACUGACCUGUCGUCGCCCCCGCGCCUGGGAUGCGGCCUCUCGGGUCGUAGUCACCCUCGCCCGCGCCUCCGCCCACCACCGCCCCGUUCCCGGUCGCUGCCGCCACCGCCGGGGCUCAUGCGGGACCCGCGCCGCCUUCUCCGGAAGCCGGGCCGGGACACGGCGCGCCUGGGCCGCCGAGAACCCGACGCUCGUCGCCAGCCGCCGCUGUCGGUGCGCGCCGAGGGGUUGCGGAGCCGCCUGGCAGGGGCUGCAGGCCGCGAGCGACGCCGAGGAGGCGCUGAGGGUCGGCGGAGGCGAAGCUAAGCGGGCAGCGGGCGGCUGCGCAGCGGCGGGGCGCACGAGCGAGGGCUGGGUGGUGCGUCGCGGUCUAGGCGGAGAGGGAGCGGGCCCUGUCGUCUCCCAGAGUCACCCCGAUCCCAGCGCCACCAUCUUGGGAGGAACACUGAUCUCGCGACCGCGGCGCCAAACGGGAGGACGGGCUGGGCGGGCCGAGUAUCCCGGCAGGCAGCGCGCGCCGCCCGGCCGGGCGAGGGCUUCAAGCCGAGACGCGAGGAGUCGGGGCCGGACGGAACGCACGCGGAGGGCGCCGCGCUCGGCCCCACCCCCGGCCAGCUCGCCCCCCUCCGGCUUCCCGUCGCCCCCGGCGCAGGGGCGGCUGGGAAGGGGAGAUGAGGGCUCGCGGCUCGGCCGAACCCACCGGGGCCGGCCGCCAUCUUAGGACUGGGCAAAGGGGUUAACACUCACCUCACUCUGUGCUGUCGGUGGCCGAGCAGAAAGAACCAGGUUGUGCUCUAAAAGGAGUGGAGCGAAGCCUGAUGGUGGCAUGCACCUGUAGUGCAAACUGUUCAGGAAGAUGGAUCAAGAGAUCACUUGAGCCCGGUUCAAGACUUCAAGGCCAGCCUAGGCAACAUAGCAAGGCCCUAUCUCAAGAAGGAAGAGGAGGAAAGGAAGAAAUGGAAUGUCCCCUUGCCAUUUCCCUCUGUCCCUUUCUGGUGAUUGGAAUGACAAAGGCCAGGGCCAGCUGAUGAUCUUGUCACAGUGCCUCAGCCAGAGCUCAGUGAACGGCUGCCAAAAAAGACUUCUGAAUGGCCAACAAGUACAUGAAAAAGUGCUCCAUGCCCUGAGUCAUUGGAGAAGCGAAAAGCAAAACCGCAAGGAAAUAUUAUCCCACCCCAGUGACAGUGGCUGUUAUCAGAAAACCAAGACAUAGCAAAUGCUGGCAAGGAUAUGGAGAACAGGGAAGACUUGAACACUGUUUUGGGGAAUGUAAAUCAGUACAGCUAUUAUGAAGAUCAGGAGGGAGGUGCCUCAAAAAAUUAAAAAUAGAAUCACCACAAUGGGCAAACAUCCAAAGCAAAUGAUGCCAGUCUAUCAGAGACACCACAGCCCCAUGUUUACUACCCCAAUAUUCACAGCAGCCAAAAUAUGGAACCAACCAAGGUGUCUGAAUGGAUAAAGAAAAUGUGGGACAUAUGCAAUGAGAUAUUAUUCAGCCAUAAAAAGAAUGAAAACCUUUUGCACCAGAACGGCCAGGACUGGAGGGCAUGGUGUUCAAUGAAGUAAACCAGGAUCAGAAAAACAAAUAGCACAUAUUCUCUCUCAUAUGAGGAAGCCUGAAAAGUUAUCUCCAAGAGAGCCAGGUAGUGAUUACUAGAGGCUGACAAGGGCAGAAGGUAAUGAGUAUAGAGGGUGGGUGGAUAAUAAAUACCAGUGCAGUGCAACAGGAAGAACAAGUUCUAAGGCUCCGCAGCAUAGCAGGGAGACCAUAGUUUACAAGAGCCUACUGCACAUUUUAUAAAGAACUAGAAGCCAGGAGUUUGAAAUGGCCCAAAGCAAAGAAUGAUAAGGAGAAGAAAAUGUUGAUAUCCUGAUUUUAUUAGCACACAUUGUGAAUAUAUAUAUAGAGAGAAUUAUCAUGCUGUACCCUAUAAAUGUACAUAAUUAUUAUGUAUAUAAAAAUGAAAAGGAAAAGGAGACUGCCCAGGAGACAGGGCUGGGUCUUAGACACACUGAGGAUAGACAAGCUUGGCUUUUCCAGCUGCUGAAGUCUUACUUAUCUGGUUUCCUCGUAGCUAUGCCAUUUGAGAGGCUCCUGGCCAGGGAUGGGCACCUCUGCCAGAGGAACUCCGUCCUGCUGUGACAGAGGAGUCUGUCCAGCGUGGAGAACCAGGAGCUCUCUGGGCUGUGUGUUGGAAGGUUCAGUCUUGCUGCUCGGGGACAGAAAUUGAGUGGGAAGGCAGCCUCCAGACAAGGAGCAUUGUAAGGCUACUAGUUAAACAAGGCCAAACAAAUGAUCGGCUCCUUUCUAGCAACACUUCUGAAAAAAAUUGAAGUAAUUCAAUGUGGCAUAGCAUGACAGCAUGAGAAUGAGAUGUCACCUUCCAUAUUUCGUGACUUGAUAAAAACCCAUUAACGGUACCUGUAAACUUGAAAAAGUGUUUUAAAAGUGUAGAAGUGUUGAUCCUUACUUUCCACAGCAGCUUUUAUCUCUUGGAAUGGAGAUGUUUUGUUUUCACUUGGGCCUGUCCACACCCUGAGAAAAUCCUAGCCAGUCCUAUGCCUGGACAAACUGGCUCUUCACCAGUUGCCUACUUUCAAGCCACUGUGCCCCCAAGGGUCCGAGGUGUGGCCCUGGAGCAGAGCACAGACAGCUGGAGAGCCGAGAAGCCCUCAGCCCUUGCAUCUGCCAGGUUCUGACUUUGUCCACUGCAGUGUUUCUGGUACCCAUGCCACGGACCUAGAGAGAGGAGGGCGGACACAGAUCGAGUCACACACUUAGAAGGACCUGGAAGAAUCGGGAUGGUAGGAAGUUCAGUGUGGCUACUUGAAGACAGGGCAGAGCCCAGAGGUGUGUUCGUGCUGUCCUGUCCAGCCUGGAGGAGAAUGGGCUCUUUACCCUCGGGCUUGGGCUCCUACUGAGGUGAGCUUCCUCCUGCUUCCACCCACACCGACAGAUGCGCCAUUUCCUGUCUUUCUCCUUCCUUCAUCAUCUUCUAGUCUCGAAGAGAAAGGGCCCUUCUGCUGGAGGCUGCUGUAUUCAGGGAAUCCCUCUACCGUAGUAACUCCCAGCCGUGUCCUAAAAUUCACCAAAGACUUCUUAAAAAUUAAAAACAAAACACAGAAGGCUUGGGCUUCAUCCCCAUGUUCUCAUGCUGGAUGUUGGCCGGGACUUUUCAUGUUAAAUCAGCCUGCGAGAUGAGCCGUGUGCAGGCGCUUUCUUUGAGAAAUGCUCCUUCUCCAUGGAGAGGGACUGUCCUCCUCAUCCCAUCUUACUUUUCCUGGCACAUUUCCAAGUUUGUGAAUAUGCUCAAACCUCCUCCAUGAAAAGAGAAUGUUCUCUCAACCACCUCUUCUCCUUCAUCCCCAAGAUUUCCUGAAGGAACAAACCUUCUUGUGUGUUUCUGCUCCUUUUCCUCUUCCAUUCUCUGCAACCCAGUGUCUGUCCCUACCACUCCACACUUGUUCUCAUUACCAGGAAGACAAAUGAAACCCACACACCAACCCACCACGGCCUCUGAGGAAGCCUGCGAAGCCCGCAGGACCCAGCUGCUUCCUGUCCGGUUCCCUGUUGCCGCUGCCUUACAGUCCCUGGUUUUCUUACACUUCCUUGAGCUGCAGAGCUCUCUCCAGCUGCCGAGCCUUCCCGUGCUGCUGUCUGGAGCCCUGCGCCCUCACCAGAUGUUACUUCCCGGUCUUGCGGCUUCAGUAUCCAUCUCGGAGAGGCCUUGCCGCUGCCCCGAGUGCUCUCCCUCUCAGAACCCCUUCUAUUUUCCUUCAGAGCACAUUUUCUAACUGAUGUGUUUACUUAUCCCUACUUCCCCUCACAAGACUGUGAAUUCCAAAGGCGGGUGGCUUUGUGUGUGCAGUUUAUCACUGCACCGAGCCCAGUUCUUGGAGCACAGUAUGUGCUUCACUGAUAGAGAAGGCGAAUCUGUGAAGCCACUUGUCGGUCACUCGUGAUUCUCACCUUCCGGAUUUGCACCCGAGUGCGCGGCUGAGCAGUGAGAAACAGCAGCAAGACUGCUUCAGCAAGGAGCCUGCGGCUGGGCGCGGCGUCUGCCCCGGUGUCCUCAGCCGGAGGCCCAGCACGUCGGCCGGUCCCGGCUGAUCUCCGUGCUCCAAGGCCUUGGGGAGCUUUGCUUUUGAACAAUUUCACUCUGAAGAAUAUCAACAGUCAACUUUUUUCCUCUGUAGAGGAAGACUGCUCCGCUGAUGUCACUGUGAUUACAGGGUAAUCGCAGUAAGUCUCUUGAGACCUUCCCUUUGUUGGUUUUUGCAGAGUGAAUGAAAUAAAAAGAGGACUAAAUCAUUCACUUCCUGUGCAGCACAGUGAGAUCGGGGUUCCCUUAGAAACGACCGUCUCAGGGCGUGGCCUCAGCACCUCGCGUGUACCUCCUGGUUCCUGCGUGUAAGGCCUGAAAUGUUCCCAACCAGACCGCAUGGCACUUUCCUUCUCGGGGCAUAAAUCUGCUGGGUAACAGUGUAUGCCGUGUAUACUGUUAGUGUUCCUAGUGGCUGCUGAAUGGCGUUGCGACUUAACCGGUACUUUGGAGCCCUGAAGACUCCCCCUCCCAAAGCUGCUACCUGCUCAGAGACCUGGAGCUUGCAUGCGCACACACGCCCAAAGUGGGACUUUCACAAACCCUCAGACCCCCUCAAGAUGUUUUCUUAGCAGGCUUUCUGCUAGAUGCCUGAGUUCAAAGAAUGAAGGCCCAGUGCUCACAGGACAAGCAGAGAAGGAUGUGCAAAGGUUCCCACUGUGGACAAUGGGAGCAGAAAUAGGAUUCACAGAGAAGAGAAGGUUUGGAGAGAAAGUGGCACAUUCUGACUUGGAUAUAAGGACUCACAUCUCCAAAGAGCUGUCUACAUGGUGAUGUCUGAUAAACAACCUGUGGACUGGGAGGACAAGCUGGAUGUGGUGGCACAUGCCUGUGAUCCCAGCACUCUGGAGGCUGAGGCAGGAGGAUCGCUGCAAGUUUGAUGCCAGACAGGGUUACAUAGUGAGUUCAAGGCCAGCCUGAACUACACAGCAAGACCCCGUCUCAAAAAAACCAAACCAAAACAAAAGAAAAACCACUGGGAAAAGACGUAAUUUGAUACAAACAGAAGGUGCAGAAGUGUCCCUGGAGCAUGUUUAAAGCCAGCCCUUUAGACAAUGCCCAAGAAAGUCCAGAAAGAAAUGAACCAAGUAUUGUAAUGUGCAAUGACGCUGAGGGCCAAAUUAUACUUAAUAUGAAUUUUGAGAAUCAAUGUAGCAAAAUUUCUCCAGAAAUUCUUGGACAAGAAAAUGAAAAAAGGGGUGGUCAGUGGAAAGAGCAGCAAUGGAGAUUCUGAAUUGAGGUGAAGACCUCCAUUCCCUUGGAAGCGGGCCUUCAGGGGCCAGUGAUGCUCCCUCCUCCCUCUCACCAUCUACCCCUUCUUUACAAGUGAGCAGACAGGGCUGUCAGCCUGAGUCAUUCUAGAGAAGCUCCUAUUCGUAUUCCUAUUCCUGGUGGUGGUUUCCCUGCUACGCCUCGGUCUCCUUGUCUUAUACCAGUGUCCACGCUGCAGAAGAGGGUGUUGCCUUAAUUAGGGGUAAGGAUUGAAUAAGCUGUACCAGCGAUGUCUGCCAAUGCUAACAAACCAGCAAUGUAUAGUGGUGAUAAUGCUCACAGUUCUACUCUGCUGGUGAUCCAAUCUUGUACCAUGUUCAUAUAUACCAAGCUACCGGUCUAACCUGUUUAGACUCCUGGAGAAUUUAAAUGGCCCAAGGUGAAAGUUCUGCCUUUUGGAAGUCCCAGGAGGGACUCCUGUUUAACAGAGAAGAUUGUAAUUAUCCUAAAGAUGUGGCUGCGUGCAAGGGUCUUUCCUCCUGAUGCUUCCUGAUGCCAGGAAACAAACCUGUGGCUUCUAAAAGACCUGUAGGAGAAGUUCUGCUGCUUGGUAGGGCACUGGCUUCAAAUCCCUAUUAUUCAACCCUCUUCCUCUUAUCUUGGCUUUCCCGUCUGCUCUUUCCUCUCUCUCUCUUGGCUUGCCAAGUUUGGGCUUAGUCAGUGCUGUGGUGUUAACACUGCAGCUCAUAAUGUGCCAGCUCACGCUGACUCAGAACCAGAGAGUCAGAUCAGUGCUGUACCCAGAAUGGAGACAAAGGCAGGGCAGAGACAGGAGGCAGGGAGCUUCCUGAGUGCCUGUCUUUGUUCAAGCGUCUUGCUGCUGCCUGAGGGGAGAGGGCAGGGAGAAUCUGAGCGGUGAUGGGCUCCCAGGAGGAAAAUGCUGUGUUAAUAAAGAGGGAAGACUGCAAGUUUUACUCUGUGUGUUCAUUUGUAUGUAUGUAUUUUAAAAUGCCAAUCAUAGAAAUUAUUUUUAACUGAAUAUGUUAUCUGUAUUGUUAUCUAUAUUAUCUACACUGACAUGAAAUUACAAGAACUAAUAUGAAGAGCGCCCACAUAUGCUUUCCAGGUUUCCUCCAAUUGCAGGAUUUUGCAAACUUAGAGUAUAAUAUCACAACUGAGAUGUUAUACAUUUCAGAUUUCUCCAGGGUUGCUUGCACUUGUGUGUGUGUUUAGUUCUACAAAAACUAUUACGUAUGUAGAACUGGCUUUCCACCACUACAGUCAAAAUACCAAGUACCUCAUCAUUACUACAAUCCCGUGAUCCUGUGUUGGCUAAUUCCAACCACAUCCACCUCCUCUGUUCCAUUUUUCAUUCAAUCCCAACCCCGACCUCAUGGCAACUACUGUUCUUAGAUUUCAAAAAUGUUAUGUAAGUGCAAUCAUACAGUAUAUAACUUUUGUGAUUUUUUUCACUCAGAGUAAUGUUCUUGAUUUCCAUUCAGGUCAUUGUAUGGGUCAAGAAUUCAGUCCUCUUAACUGCUGAUUAGUAUUCCAUGGUGUGGAUCACUCAGUGGAUAAAUCACCCUUCUGACCUACUACCUAUAUUGUUAAAUCUGAAGUCACUUUCUUCUAGAUAAGCAUAGAAAGGGCUAUGCUACUUUUAUUCACUCUGCCAAGCUCUUUUAUUAUUACCUUACACAAUUUUUAUUGAUGAUAAAUAUUUAUAUGUUGCUAUUUACAUUUAGCUUUUAAUUAUUUUUGUUUUCUGUUUGUUUUCUGGGUUCUUGCUCCUUUGUUUAGUUUCUUGCUUACUUGCACAACUUUUUAUAUUUAAAGUGUUUUUGAGUGUAUUACUCUAAAGUUGUUUUACUGUUUGCUCUGGGUAUUCUAAUAUAAAUAUAUGACUUGUCACGGUCUACUGAUGGGAACAUUUUAUCAUCUUGUGUUGUGUGGUGUCUCAUUCCAACUUAGGCCCCUUUUCCUUCUUUACCAUAUUUUAUUGGCUUGAGAAUCAGAUAGUGUUCAUUGUUUUCAUAUCUUCUUUCCUUUUGUUGAAAAAAUUUAAACAAUGGUGGUUAAUAAAAAGUACAAACAAAUCAACAGGCAUAUGCUAGUGAAAAACAGGCAACAUAAAACUAAAAAUGCCACUGGUUUCUUUAAUUGGUUAAAAGGAUAAAACUUAACAGGCAUUUAAUUGGCUAACAGCACAAAACAUCAUUUGUUUUAAACAAAUUAAAACGUUGUUAAAAAUUCUCCCUAAGUGAGAUAUGUACACACCCACAAAAGUAGUAUGUGAAGGAAAGCUAUCCUACAUAAGAACUUGUAUCCUGAAUUCUUCAGAGAAAUAGUUGUUGAAAUAGGAAUUAGCACAAAAGCAGCAACAGGUUAACAAUUUUUGAAUACUACAUGGAAAAUGAUACAUGGCCCAAAGUUCUGCUACAUAAAGUAUGACGUCUAAUGAAGGAAAGAUUCUAUAUAGCUUUCAGCAAAAAUGCUUUUCCAGAAAAGCAAAUCCAAACAACACAAUCAGCAGACAAAGGAAGCUACGGCUAGACCUCAGAGCUACAGCUUCUCGAAUCUGUGCUAGAAAGUCCUAUUCAUGCAGGAAGGACUAAAGUUUCAGCGUAAGGAGAGGCAGUUUUAACAUUUCUUACUUUAAGCAUUUUAAAUUGUUUCUCUCCAUCACCUCCUCCACUGAGUAGUGAGCUCUCUGCUUCUUCUCUCCUCGCCAGGUAACUCAACACAUCCAGCAGUAAGAACUCGCUUUUAGAGUUGGCUGCUUUAUUUUCCUUUCUGUAGCAAGACCGUCAUGGAGGCUGGGUACCUCAGGUUCAUGUGCAUCCAUGACCAUCCUACUGUGUGAAAAAAUGAGCAAUGGACUUGGUGGUGAAGGCAGCUUCCAGCUGCUUCUUUAUUCUCCCUCUGAUGAAGGUCAGCUUUGGGGUGUAUUUGUCACCGAAGCUUUUGAGACAGGAGAACAGCUGCCAAGUAUCAUUGGCAUCCAUCCCUGUAGGGUCUAUCUUACGAGCCACAAAGAAAAUGCUCUUCUACUCAUUUGAAGCAUAGAUGGCAGAGUUCCCCUGGUCACCAAACAGGAAGCGACACACAGAGCCCAUGCCGGCUUGGACUCUGGGAAGGGAAGUGUUCAAUUCCAAAUCAAAGUCACUAGGCAAAGAAACAGGAGAUGGGGCAGAUGGUGAGGCCACUGUUGGGGACCAAAACUCUCCACGUACUUGCACUUUUCCUGAAGCACUUUUAUCGCAGAAUCAUCCAAGUGGUUUUCACAGUUGAUCCGUCCCACUUGUCAAGCUUUACAGAAUUAUCACCAAUCUUUCAUAUAUCAAACAAGCUUGUGAGGCCUCUGCCUGUCCUGCAACUGGGGUCGUUACCAGCCCUGGGACUGCCUCUGCCACCACUUCUCUGUCCUGUGCACCACCACUGCCGUCCUGCUCCAGAGAGUGUUGAUAUUUUGUCUCAGUCAUCAAAUAUGAUUUAUAAAGCUCAAGAAGAGGAUGCUCUAUUGUCCAACCCUGCAUUUCUCUUAUUUCUCCUGUUCCUUCUUUCCCAAUGCUUCAGGACUCCCCAUUUUCUCUCUGUUUGUCAAAUUACUUUGGCCAGACUUUAACGUCCUCUGCUAAGGACAAAUUGCUUUAGAUUUCUUUCAUCUGAGGAUGUCUUGCUUUUCUUUUCAUUCCCCAGAGAUAGUGUUCCCAGACAUAAAACUCAUGAUUGAAUUUUUUUCCUUUCAAAUACUCUUAAAUAAUUGGAAAAUGUGCUAUUUUCUUCUGGUCUCUAUUGUUUCAGAUGAGCAAUCUACUGUCAUUUGAAUCAUUUUCCUCCUACAUGUAAUGUGUCAUUUACUUCUAGUUUCUUUCAAGAUUUUCUUUUCCUUUGUCUUGAAACGGAUUUCUCUGGGUUUAUCCUGUUUGAGAUUUACUCACCUCUUUGAAUCUGUAGGUUUAUGUGUAUCAGCAAAUUUGGGGGGCUUUCAAAAACUUUUAAAAUAUUCUUUCACCCCCACCCUCUCCUCUUCUGGGAGUCUAGCUACUCCCUUAUAGCCCUAUGGAUCCCUGAGCCUAUUCAUUUUUACAGUCUAUUUUCUUUCCAUUUUUAGAUUGUUGUUGUAAUUGGACAGAUUGUAUCUUCCAGUUCAGUGACGUUGCCCUCUGUAUCUGUUUUUCUACUGAACCCAUUCAGAAAUUUGUUUGUAAAAUUUCUGCUAUCAUAUUUCUCAGUUUUCUAUUUUCCAUUUGGUUCUUUAUAGUAACUUCUAUUUCUGUGCUGAGAUUUUGUAAAUAUUUUUAUUUGUUUUAAGAGAAUUUUAAAUUGAUUGUUGAAGCACUCACAUGACAGCUGUUUUUAAAUCCUUAUCUGAUAAUUCCAACGUUUUAUUCAUCUGAAGUGUUGAUGUCAGUAAAUUGCCUUUUCUUACUAAUGUGAUUUUCUUACUAAUGUGGUUUUGGCAUAGCGGGUGAAUUUUUUUUCACUAUAUCCUGGACAUUUUGCCUGUUAUGCCAAGAAACUCUGGAUUCUAUUUAAGGCUUUUAUUUCAGUAGGCAGGCACUCUGUAAAGCUUAGCACUCAGGCUCUGGAUUACUUCUGGGGACUAUGGCCCCAGAUCAGUCCUGUUUCAGAGCCUCUGGGCUUCUUGCUUUAUCCCUGGUGUUGGGGCUCUCAAUCUCUGCCUGUGGCAUCUGAGGAGUAGGAUAGGGUCCCCAGCCCUGCUGGGCUACCUGGUUGUCUUUGGGAGGAGGAGGGGAAUCUCAGGCCAUUGGAGACAAAGGGGCCUCCCGGGCUGGGUCUGAAGUCUUUUUGGCCUUCCUCUGCAGGUUCUUCCCAUCCACCAGAUAGGUGGGAGUCCCUUGUUUGCAUUUUCCCUGGACUGUAGCCAUGUGCCAGUCAGCUUUCCAUUACUAUGACUAAUACCUGAGAUAACUCAACUUAAAGAGGAAAAAUCUUUAUUAUGCCUUGCAGAUGAGAGGCUUUGGCCUGGGCUCAGUUGGCCCUGUUGCUUUAGGCCUGUGGUAAGACUGCAUACGGGGGUGGAAAAGCUCAUGGUAGAGCAAGGUAGCUCACCUCAAAGCCUGGGAUGUGAAAAAGAGGCAGAGUCCAGGGUCCCCAAAUCCCCUUUGAUGGCACACCCAGGAUGACCUAAGAAUUCCCAUGAGGCCCCCUCUGAGAUUCCCACUUCCCAGCAGCAUGUGGUGCCUUUGGGGGAUCCAGCCCUGAACACAUGGGUCUUUGGCAGACAUUCCAUAUCCAAACUGCAGGGAGACCAGGCUAAGACCAGGGCCAGCUGUGCUGCGCAGCUGUGGGUCUAGAACUGGCAGAGAAUACACAAGAGGGUGUGAGUGGUGGGGUGGCUCUGCUAUUAUUCUUCAACCCCCAGGGCUCUUUGAAAUGCAGCUUCUCGGUGUGACUCAUCUGGUUAAUGGAAUGCAUGCAGAAAUGAUAAGUAUCACUCACAGGUGGCGGCUUCAAGAGCCACAAGGGUCUUUGUUUUUCACUCUUUCAUCCUGAUUACUGAUGGUGUUUCAGACAGUAGCUGCUCAUCACUCAGCCCACAUUCCAAGGCAGGUGAGGCUGCUGACAGCUCAGAGCACAGCCCCUUCGGACUGUGGAGGGCACAUCAUGAGAGUG
ensembl:lncRNA